rnacentral:rRNA from 1 species
CUACGGGUUGCUCCAGUGAGGAAUUUUGCGCAAUGGGGGAAACCCUGACGCAGCAACGCCGCGUGAGUGAUGAAGGCCUUCGGGUCGUAAAACUCUGUCAAGUGGGAAGAACCUAUGUAAGGUUAAUACCCUUAUGUACUGACGGUACCACUGAAGGAAGCACCGGCUAACUCCGUGCCAGCAGCCGCGGUAAUACGGAGGGUGCAAGCGUUAUUCGGAAUUAUUGGGCGUAAAGGGCGCGCAGGCGGUUUUGUAAGUCAGAUGUGAAAGCCCGGGGCUUAACCUCGGAAGUGCAUUUGAUACUGCAAGACUUGAGUAUGGGAGGGGGAAGUGGAAUUCCUGGUGUAGAGGUGAAAUUCGUAGAUAUCAGGAGGAACACCAGUGGCGAAGGCGACUUCCUGGACCAAUACUGACGCUGAGGCGCGAAGGCGUGGGGAGCAAACAGGAUUAGAUACCCCAGUAGUC